rnacentral:tRNA from 1 species
GCCCUUGUAGUUUAACCGGAUAAAACGACCGCCUCCUAAGCGGUAGCUCGGGGUUCGAGUCCCUGCAGGGGCACCA